CCUCUCUGGAGAGCCUCUUACAAGAGCGCCGAAGGUGUAAGGCGGUUCGCCGAUCUCUCAGGCAAAAGGACAGAGCAA
rnacentral:ncRNA from 1 species